rnacentral:rRNA from 1 species
AAGCAUAUAAGUAAGCGGAGGAAAAGAAAAUGAAAAUGAUUCCCUUAGUAAUGGCGAAUGAACCGGGAAGAGCUCAACUUGUAAAUCGGGAACCUCGUUCUUGAAUUGUAGUCUUGAUAAGCAUUACCAGCGUUGGAUCGGGCGUAAGUCAACUUGGAAGAUUGCGUCAGAGAGGGUGAGAAUCCCGUAUUUCCUUCGUUCGGUCCCCGGCGCGGUCGGUGUGCUGUUUUAGAGUCGCGUACUUUGGACCUGGUGCGCAAAAUGGGAGGUAAUCUUCUUCUAAAGCUAAAUACUGACUCGAGACCGAUAGCAAACAAGUACCGUGAGGGAAAGGUGAAAAGGACUUUGGAAAGAGAGUUAAAAGUGUCUGAAAUCGC